rnacentral:lncRNA from 1 species
AAGAGGAAGCUUUAGCUCGGGUGUUCCAAUCUAAAUACAUGUAAACGGAGUAUUCGUUUUUCUCGGCAACCACUGCACCAAAUUUAACGAGGUUCUUUACAUUUAAAACAAAAGCUUAGAAUCUAAAAUUUCUGCUGGGUACACAAAAGAUUUAAGCGAAACAAUUGAUGCAAAGCGGGGCAUGGUGCUUUCAGUGCCCAAUUUUUUAUAGAACAUGUAGUUUUCCAUUAUAAAGGGGACUGUAAUGCGAUGUCUUUAAGUAGGGGGUUGUCUUACAUUCAGAGUCGACUUAUGUUUCAACAUGAACGGGAAUGAAGUGUUACGCAAUUCUUUUAACGAAAUUUACCUCUGCUGUUUAGUUUCCAUAUUGUGCGUAAAAGCAACAGUGCGUGCACUUUCAGCUGCUCAGUUUACCUUCAAUGCUGCUCUCAUUUUGUAGAGUUCAUCACAUGUGCAUGUGCAACACAUUGGCGGAGGCAAUACGAACUGCAUUUCUCGCUAGCUGGACAAGUCGGAAUGGCAAUGCACCUUGGAGAACAAGACUCGAAUUGUGAAAGUCUGGUGGUUUUCACCAAGUUUCAUGUCAAGAUGGGCUGACACCAUGUCCACCGAUGCUGUCACUCUCUGGUAAGCAUGUUAAAAAAAUAAAAACAAUGCAGUUUGAACAGUAA